rnacentral:rRNA from 1 species
UACGUAGGCAGCGAGCGUUGUUCGGAGUUACUGGGCGUAAAGGGUGUGUAGGCGGUUUUCUAAGUUUGGUGUGAAAUCUCCCGGCUCAACCGGGAGGGUGCGCCGAAAACUGGGAGACUAGAGUGCGGGAUGGGAGAGUAGAAUUCCUGGUGUAGCGGUGAAAUGCGCAGAUAUCAGGAGGAACACCGAUGGCGAAGGCAGGUCUCUGGGCCAUUACUGACACUGAGACGCGAAAGCGUGGGGAGCGAACAGG